GGUGGUCCAGCCCAAAAUUGCUAAACCGUUAUACGGUCAAAAGCUGUAUCGGGGGUUCGAAUCCCCCCCCUCUCCGCCA
rnacentral:tRNA from 1 species